GUGUCAGCAGCCGCGGUAAUACGUAGGGCUCGAGCGUUAUCCGGAUUUAUUGGGCGUAAAGCGCAUGUAGGUGGAUUUUUAAGUCGGUUUUCAAAGCCCGGAGCUCAACUCCGGUUCUGGAACUGAUACUGGAAAUCUCUGAGUAUAGUAGGGGCAAGCGGAACUCCCGGUGUAGCAGUGAAAUGCGUUGAUAUCGGGAAGAACACCAAUGGCGAAGGCAGCUUGCUAGACUAUUACUGACACUGAGAUGCGAAAGCGUGGGGAGCGAACGGGAUUAGAUACCCCGGUAGUCCACGCCGUAAACGAUGCAGACUAGCUAUCAGAAGUAUCGACCCUUCUUGUAGCGAAGCUAACGCGUUAAGUCUGCCGCCUGGGAAGUACGGUCGCAAGACUAAA
rnacentral:rRNA from 1 species